rfam:Ailuropoda melanoleuca scaffold2016_9, whole genome shotgun sequence.
ACCUGGCUGGCUCAGUUGGUACAGCAUGUGACUCUUGAUCUCAAGGUCGUGAGUUUGAGCCCCACACUGGGCA